AAACAAUUACGACAGCUGCUAGAGGUUUACACGAGAUAGCAGAGAGACUCAGACAUUCAUUUCAUAGCACAUUUACUCCAAGGGUGCAGGAAUCUUCAGUCUUACCCAGCAGUGUUGCCUACAAGCAAGGAAUCAACUCUAGGCCAAGUGCCACUCCAUUACAGGGGCACAAAUGCACACAGAAGCAAAAGCGCACUGAGAAAAGCAAAUGGUGACAAACACAGGCUGUGACAACUGCAGUCAAUAAUGUUUAAACAUUACAAGAUAAACUCUUCCAAUUUUUCAUUUCAUAACAUAUGUAUAUCAAUCCAAUGUCAAUUAUGAUCUUUAAGCGUCUUAGAAAUUGUGAUUUUACCACUGGAAAGAUUGUUUUAUUUAUCAGAAAGAAUAAAAAGAAAAAAUCUGCCAAAGCAAAACAUGUACUGCAAGGAAAAACUUUGUUCACAAAUGGAGAGGAACCACUAAACCAUAUAAUUAAAAGUGUAACUAUAUUAUGCUGUUUAUAUCGCUACAUUAUGUGCUAUCACUCACAAAAGCAGCACCUGUUCAAAUGUCAGCAUUGACUGUUAAGGUGGUAAGUAAGCUGGUGUGACCACCAAAUACCAGACACAAUUUAACCAAACACAGUAUAAGGUUCAAAUAAAUAAUAUUUAUUUAACAACUACAAUUUCAGAGGCUCUCAGGUCCAGCACAGUAUGAUUAUUUCAAUAAGCACACUAUGUGUCCUUCCAAUCCUCCUUUGCGAGCUUUGCCCUCUACAUCCCGACUCUGACUCUGAGUGGCUUCUUUAAUGUGGAGUAACCAAGCUAGGAGUAAGCCUAAGGAAUACUGCCACUUCUAGCAAUGGAGGAUGAAUUCUUCCCAAUAUCCAACCUUCCUCAGACUAACCAUUCCUCAUUCAUCCCCCGGCUGAGUUAUGCCUCCACUCCUGUGGCUCUUCUAUUAUGGACCCUUGCCAGGUGGAGAAUUAUCCUGGACCCAAGUCCGGAUGCCAGUCCAUCCUUUUUGGCACUUACACUGGACAUAUCAUAAUAGUUGGACACCUCUAGCUCUGAAGUGGAAGUAUCCACCAGCUCUUCAGAAUCAUCAAACACUUCAUUACAAGGCAGAAACCUUAAAGGCCACGGUGUGUCUCUCCAUCACCCAUUUGGUUCAGGCAUACGCGCAUAUACUACUCACCAGUCCAGGAGGAUAAUGAUGUCAGACGAGAAGGAGCCACCUAUGGAAACCUUUAUAUGCUUAUGGCUGUGAAGCGGCAGUGUUCGUU